AGAUGAGGGACUGCUUCAGAAAGCUGCAUAGCAGCCUUUUGUAAUAGGGCUAAAAACCGGCACAGUCCUCCUGACCAGCUGCAUCCAUCAGUUUGAUAAGAAGUACUGAUGUUAACUAUGCAUCCUGCACGCUUACAGCUAUUGGUAGUAGCACCUUUGGUGCAGCUCACUAACUUUACGGAGUGAAACAGAGCAUAAGCAACACGACUAGCACUGGCCAUGGAGCUGUGUGAAGGGAAGCUGUGCUGCUGGGAGCAAAGCUGAGCUGAGGAGCGAGGAGGCAGCAGGGCUGUGUGGGGGCUCUGUGCGGGAUAGCAUCCUGCCCAGUACUGCCCCAAGUCAGAAGAGUCGGCUCGGCGUUAAGAUACUUUCGGAGUUUGCAAAACAUGGUGGCCUCUCUAAGAAGAAAACACAAUGUAACACUGAGUUUUGUCUCCCUUGCACAGCUCCGGCAGCCUCAGCACCACCGGGCGGGGACGCGGCUGUGACAGUCCCGAGCAGCUGAGAACGGCCGUGCGGGGACGUGACUGUGCCGGAGAACUUACUUAUGAGGCUGAAAUUUCUGAUAUGGGAGGAGAAGAGGAGAGAGGCUGGUUUGGAGCAGAGGACCAGAGGGAUAUCAUGUCCGUGCUGGCUUUUCUCUGCAUCUGUCUGUGUUGCACUGGUGCUGUCAGUAAGCACAAGCUGGAAAUCACCUACAGAUUGUUUUAAUUUGCACCAAGGACAAAAACAUCCAUCCUCUAUUGAGCGGAGUGCUCCUAGUUUCCAGUUCUACAUUACUUCGUCAGCAGGAUCACAGCUGGGCCUAAAAGGCACUCUGCUCUGCCCUUGGCCGUGCUGCUGAUGUGUUGCAGGACAUAGAGCUGUUUGUGUUGGAGAGCCUGAGCAGCCCCAGUGAGUGUACCAAAGGUCACAGGUGGAGGGAAGUGGAAUUCUGGGCAGUUUUGAGGUGUUGAGGAGAACCUUGCAGUGCUCAACAAUUCCUGAGCAACCUGCUGUAAAUCUUCUUGUAGCCAGUUCAGCCUUUGGAAGGAGUCAGAAGAGAUUUGUGGAGCUUGGCAGCGGUGUUGUUCCUGAGGAAGACUGGAGGAAGAAAACUCAGAAUCACCCCUAUGAGCAGCUCUUUAAAACGAAUGGCUAACUGAAGGAAGAAGCCUUGUGCACUUGCAGUGCCAUGAUGUUCUGCCAUCCAAAGGGGAAUUAAUUGCUGAGUGGCAUGGAAAACACACAGCACAGACAGCAGGCAUGGUCCAGACCUCAAGGGACUAGUCAUGGUCUUAAAGGCUAAGAAAAUAAUCUGAGGUGCAUUGGAGAGAAAGUGUCUUAGUAAUGCUCCAUACAUAAUGCUGGUGUUCCCAGAGUUAGUGGCGUAUCUCCAAUAUUUGUCCAUUAAAACAUGGAGACAUUCAAAGAUAUGAAGAUACUUAUUGACCUAAGAAAUAUAUCAGCAAGAAGCUGAAUAUAUUAAAUGUAUAAACUCGUUUGAAUUACAAGGAGUGUCGUGGCACACACUGUAACAUAGCAGUGAAUGAGAGUGAGUGUAAGCUGAUGAUGGAGGAGGGAACCCAUGAAAGAGAGGGUGAAGAGGAAAGGUGUUCGAAUCUUCUUAUGGAAAUAGCAGGGUUUGGGAUAGGGGAACUGCUCCAUGCACCUAAUGCAUCACAGGACAAGUCAGAGGUGAGGCAAUACACAGCCACUGUCAGGAAGAGGAAAACAUGACAGCGGAUCCAAAACUGGUGGCAAGCUGUGGUUAUCCCAGACUCCAGCUGUCCGUGUUUGUGGUAGGUGACCUGCAAGGAGAUCUCCCUGAGAUGGCUGCAUUUUUCUGUCAGAAGUGAGACACUGCUGCUCUCGGCUCACGCUGUGUUAGGAGCAGCGUGCAGCUCCCAGCAGAACCCCUGCUGAGUUGGCAGCUGGUGGCUGCUCAGGAGACUGGAGCGUGGCCUGGAGGGGACAUUGUCUGCCAAGGGCAUGGCGGGGACGUGCUGGGCUUUGGGAGGGCUGCCAAGCAGUGCUCGUGUGCAUCUCCUUGUCCUGCAGCCUGCACUGUGUGAUGGUGUGGUUGCGACCGAUCCCAUGGACAGCAGCAAGACUUCCAUCUGCAGCCAAAUGCCUUGGCUGGCUGCAGGAAGGACUUCCAAGCUGAAGGUGAGACAUUAACAGCACUUCUGAAAUGGUUACAGCUCCCACAUGUGAAGGGCAUUGACUCAGCUGUGUGUAGGGCAGCUUCCCUUCUUGCUGUAGCCAUUGAAACAGGUGUGAAUCAGCUGUGUGUGCACCAGGAAAGCAAAUAAGAAAGGUUUUCACAAAAAAGCUCUAAGAGUGUAAAACUGAUACCUGGAGGUGCAGGUAAGUGGCAUACUUUUUCCCUCCCCCGAUUUUGUAGCUUGCACUAUAUAUGCAUCAGAUUUAAAGGCAAGUAGUGUCUCUCUUUAUCAAACAGGCUUGAUAAAAGAACAAUCAUGUACAUUCAGUUAUAUCUCUGCUAAACGUAUCCUUUUUUAUUGCUUUCCAGUAGUUCAAAGCAUUAGCAUAAAACAAUCAAGGAGGUUGUUUUUCCUAAGAGAGAGAGUGCCUGUUUACAAACUCAUUUUAUUUUCACAAUACUCCAUUGUUAUUUAUUUCAGACAGAAAGCUGUCAGAUUAAUGCAUUCCCUCAUGCAGGACAGCUUGCUUUAUUGCCCGUUAUUAAGAUAUAACAUAUAUAACCUGACAAGCACUGCCCACGUCUGCAAUCUACCAGUGAAAGGCAAAUUAAGUAGAAAAUGGAGAUCUCCAAUAUUUCUUGGGGCUAAAGUGAUAUUAGUUUUUAACUCAUUUUGUAUUCAGAGGGGAUUCUGCCUGCUCACAACAUAUCUGACAGAGUAAACUGCCCAAAGAAGGCUUUUUUGAUUCGUAGAACAGCUACAUCUGAGAAACUGAUUUCAGAGUCACAGGAGUCAAUUCCCCCGGCAUAAAUGUGUGCCGACAAAGGAGGAAAAAAAAAACCAAACACUCAACAAAUGAGUUGGAUGGUGCAAGAAACCAGUUGGAAAGCAACUCCUUCGGGAACAGUGGUGUAAGGUGAGUAACUGAGAUGCAUAAACCCAAUCCUAAAACAACCCAACAGAUAAUCCUUAUGGCCCCAAGGGUCCAAAUUCUAAACCCCAGUGCUCACAUUGUCCCAGUAAGGGCUCCCAGAUGGACGUGGGCACCAGGCACAGCUGGUAACACCUUAGCUAAGUUGCUCCCUUUUCUGCGGUGCAUGCAUUCGGGCUACUGGCAAGACGCUUGUAUUCCUUCUCCUUUUCACAACAAUUUGUUGUCCAGGAUAUCCCACGUGGUCCCACUGACAGCAUCCAACUGACAGUUUCCACAGAACUGCUUGAAAGUCUCCACUGAGCCUCAACAUUGCACUGGGACUAUUAGUAAGCUUGGUGCAAGGUCCCAACACUGCAAACCUCACUUUCAUAUAAGUGAUGUUUUUCAAGUUUUUCAUUAUUGCUUAAUCUGAUUGUUUUGAUUUGUUUUCUUUUUCCCCCUAGGACUGAAUUCCUGAACUUGUUGAGGGACAGAAACUGCUCUGGAGAAGUCAACAAGAGCGCGUGCGGUGCGGCAGACAAGAAGAUAAUUUUGGGCUGCAUAUUUGGAAGCACCACAUCACAAGCAAAUGAAAAUGCAUCAUCACAACACCGAAUUAAGAGUGAAGGAAAACACUGUCGGUAAGAUGCUGGAUAGACUGAAGAUAUUCAAGGUUGACGGACCAGAGCCUCUUGCAUCCAUACCUGUGACAGAUGAAAAAGAAGGGGUCCUGUUUUAAACACCAGGAGCUGCAUUCAGUCAAAAGGCUCAAGCAAGAGCAACAUCGGCUUCUCUUCUGGUCUUACAUCCCGUGCACACACCUGGCAGAGUUCUGCAAACUUGACAAGCAGUAGAGAAACCUGAGAAUGUUGUGAGAGACAAAGCAUGCAAUUUGGAACUGUACACUGGAUUCCUCUUGUUUGGCUACCUCCUCUGAAACCAGACACCAACUUUGACUUCAUAUGGUGAAAACGGCAGGAUGCUUUCGUUCCUGAAGACGUAUCUGGGUGUGUCAGGAGAGGUGACUACAGUCUGUAUCCAUGUUGUGGUGCCAAAGGGGCGAAAAGCGACGACAUAUCCAAACCCUUCUCCAUUCUGUAACUCCUCGGGGAUGGGCUGUGAGAAAAGCAAUCAGUGACUGAAGCCUGUGAUGUUACGUACUGCACUGGAAAAGCUUUGAAGGAGCAAAGCAUCACUGUGAAUGUAUUGCAUGCAGCUGAAACUUGUUCUGGUCUGGAUUUGGGAUCACUGCAUCAACAAAUAAACUCUGGUACAGUAGAGUGAAAUGCUUUCAUUUGAAACUAUCUGCACAUCAAAAACAGAGCAACUCCCACAUACAUUUCUUGCUCUCCAGUAAGUACACUGCCUUAAGACACUUCAGUAAACAUAUUUUUUCAAUUUCUGGUCACAAUUCAUAGUACAUAAAUAAUAUCAGAGAAUUCAGUACUACCUCCUGUACAGUGUCUGCACCUUCCCCGGAUGUGAUUUGGUUAAGUAACAACAUAGAGUUGCUACUAUCAGUAUGAAAUAGCAUGGUAACAUUUUUUUAACUCAUUAAAAAUAGGAUACAUAAUUUAAAGUAGUAUUUUGAUCGUUUAGCUCUUGCAUCCAGAAUUAAUGGUAGGAAAGUACAAACUGGCAAGUUGCACUGACAUGUGUUUGAGAGCAAAAGUAACCUUAGACAAGCUAACUGAAUUUCUUACUGAUUGCAGUCUAACAGUAGCAAGUGGAACAGGGAAGGCAAAUGUGCAUAGCUCACAUUACAGAAUGUUACCGAGCACAUAUACACCCUAGAUAAGAAGCUGCUGCAGCCAGGAAAAUUCAUCUUUAAAGAAGCGUUUCAAUGAAAACAACCAUUCUCUGAAGAAAAUUGCUUGCCAGAAAACUUACAUCCCAUGUUAUGACCAGUUCAGACCUGCUGCCGCCUCCCCCACUAACUUCAGCUGGGGGAAUUUCAGGAACUGUGAAAAAAAAAACAUACAGCUGUCUACGCCGUGUAAACAGAUGAGAUGGUAUCACAAGUUAACCUCAUUCUCUGGAGCUAACUCUCUCGUUUUCUUAUUUCUUUUGCAAAUUGAGAUGAGUGCUUUAGAACCUGCGUGGGGCAGACACGCAUUUGAGUAUUUGCAGAACCUCACGAAUGGAACCCUGUAUGCUCUGCUUUAAAUGUUUAUGAGCAUCUAAAAAUCAGUGGCAUGCUUCAAGUUUUCAACAGGGCUAACUUACUUACACAGGCGUGCUGGGCAACAGCCUUAUCCUAAGUAACACCUGGGGUUUCAAUCAGUGUGUUCUGAGCUACAUGCUUGCACCAUGGAAGGUGUACACUGACCAAACGCCAGGAAGAGAAAGUUGUCAAAAUUCACCUCUUCCCCAUCCAUUUACAGCUUCAGACUGCGCAGCACUGACUGAACAGAGAGUUUGCCAUGCUAAAAAUAGCUGAAAUAUAUAUAGCUGAAAUAUAUUUGAAUAUAAUAUGUAGACAUAAAGUGUCCUAAAGCUGAACACAAAUACUCACUAACAAACUAGUUACAGACUUUUACAUUUGAUGCAAAUUCCAAGCUUAAUUGAAUUGAGCCAAAUAAAUGAUUUAACUUUUAUUUUUUUUUAUAAAUUCUAGAUGCUUGAAUUAAAGACGAAUAGAAGAACCCACUAACCUGCCUCUUCAGUUCUUACUUUUUCUGAGGGUAAACUAGGUUCUCCACCUCCUAUUUUGUUACUGGCAACUACACGAAAUUCGUAUUCGACCCAAGGAUUUAAAUCCACCACUGUGGUUGUAAACGUAUUUCCAUCAAUCACGUCUGGAACUAUUAAUUAAAAAAAAAAGAGAAUUAAGAACCUGCUGUAUCCUGGCCAAGCAUAUUUCAAGUGAAGCUGUAACAAGAAAUGCAUUUUACCUGUGGUAACUCGCUGCCAGCCAACCGAGAAAGGUGUUCUUGCUUGUAUGGUGUAAGCAGUCACUGGGCUGUGAUUAUCUGUGCCUUCUUGCCAGGAGAUCUGAGCUGUGGUAUCGGUUAUUUCAUCCACUCUCACGUGUUCGGGGGGCCCAGGUGAGCCUAGGAAAAGAUUGAAAAAUAGGUGGUGUUUAGUAAAGCCAGUGCCCUGGAAAUCACUAAUACUGCAGUAAGGAUUCCCAUUCUAUUAAGUGCUGUGGGAAGAAGAAAACAUUUGGAUUAGGAUAAAUAUUUAUUAACAUUAAUUAUACUUGCAUCUGAUAAGGUAAUUCUGAAAUAGUAACCCUGAACUAUUACGCAGAUGACAGGUUUUGUUUUAGUUCACUGACCUUUGUUCAGCAUGAUUCCUCUUUCCAUUCCACAUUAUCUUGUAUUUUGGUGCUUGAUGUCCUCUUUUAAUCUACUAAAGUAUCUCUGCAGUUUGCCUAUUUGUUAUCUAGAGCUAUUUUAGUGUAUGAAGUACUGUAGCAAUUCUUCAUCAGAACAUCUGAUCAGCACCGUGAGCAACAAUUCAGUCAGGCAAACGUCCUCCUGCUGCAUUCUGGAAAAAUCCUGAUUCUGGGCAGCCAAAAAAUGCUCUUUCUGUCUUAUCUGCACCAACAAACUGGUGAAAUAACUAACAGUACAAAUGCCAUUAUAAAAUACCUGGUAUAUUUUGAAACACAUUGAAUAAAUCUUGAUUGCAUCAUGUUGGUUUCUGGAUUACUGCUUUUCUUUUGCAAUAAAUGUAGCUGCAUCAUCAACAAUGAAAGCUAUAGUUCACGCUUAGCUCUGCAAUCUCCUGCUCUUGAAAAAAAAAAUAAAUAAAUAACCCUGCAUUAUAUAAUUUCAA